rnacentral:rRNA from 1 species
CGGACGGGUGAGUAAUGUCUGGGAAACUGCCCGAUGGAGGGGGAUAACUACCGGAAACGGUAGCUAAUACCGCAUAACGUCGCAAGACCAAAGAGGGGGACCUUAGGGCCUCUUGCCAUCGGAUGUGCCCAGAUGGGAUUAGCUAGUAGGUGGGGUAAUGGCUCACCUAGGCGACGAUCCCUAGCUGGUCUGAGAGGAUGACCAGCCACACUGGAACUGAGACACGGUCCAG